UGCCCACUGUUGCGCUCCAGAGAGGCUCGAAAAUAGGAAAUAGGAAGCCGUGAGGUGGAGACUCCGUCUUUUGCAAUCGAUGCACUCAACAACUGACCGCAGAUGUGGGGGAGUCUCGGUAUCUGUUGGGGUUCGCACUUGACCCCCUUUUCCCUGAGUAGCCCUCAAGUCUGGAUGUAGUCUCCCCUCCUCCCUGAGUCUGCCCUCCAGCGCAGGGUGAACCCGGUUGGGGUGUCACUCGACGCCCACUGGGAGUUGAGGCGGCUCCAGUGCGCAGGCUCCGAGCACCAGAUAAAAGCGGAGCAGGCGAGUCCAGUGCCGUCUCGAUGGAGGAGCGAGAAACGGAGGAGGAUGGGGGGAGAAACUGCAGGAAAAACACAGCCACCGUCAGCGCCGCCUCCCUGCCACCGUGUAUCGGGGUAAAAGCUGCCGUUGCUGUCGGUGCAGUUGCCGUCGCUGCCGCCGCCUCCUCUUGGCCCUGGGGAAGGAUUUCCCUGCCGGCGGGACAGUGUGCGGGGAGGGAACGGGGGUUCCUUUAUGUGGCGGUGAUUAAACUAGGGAGGAACAGAGACAGGGUUAUCUGGGAAGAAGAAAGGGAGGGCAAAGAAUAAAACGGGUUUCCCCACUCAAAUGACA